AGAGUUUGAUCCUGGCUCAGGAUUAACGCUGGCGGCGUGCAUGAGACAUGCAAGUCGAACGGACGAUCGGGCUUGCUCGAUCGUUAGUGGCGGACGGCUGAGUAACGCGUGGGUGACCUGCCCCGAAGUGGGGAAUAACUGCCCGAAAGGGUGGCUAAUACCGCAUGUGGUGACUGGUUCGUUCCAGUCUCCAAAGCCGCAAGGCGCUUCGGGAGGGGCCUGCGUCCGAUUAGCUCGUUGGUGGGGUAACGGCUCACCAGGGCGACGAUCGGUAGGUGGUCUGAGAGGACGAUCACCCAGACUGGGACUGAGACACGGCCCAGACUCCUACGGGAGGCAGCAGUCGGGAAUUUUGCUCAAUGGGCGAAAGCCUGAAGCAGCAACGCCGCGUGAGGGAUGACGGCCUUCGGGUUGUAAACCUCUUUUCUCAGGGACGAUAAUGGCGGUACCUGAGGAAUAAGCCACGGCUAACUACGUGCCAGCAGCCGCGGUAAUACGUAGGUGGCGAGCGUUAUCCGGAUUUACUGGGCGUAAAGAGCGCACAGGCGGUCGUGCAAGUCGGAUGUGAAAGCCCCCGGCUCAACUGGGGAAGGUCAUUCGAUACUGCUCGACUUGAAGGCGGGAGAGGGAAGCGGAAUUCCCGGUGUAGUGGUGAAAUGCGUA
rnacentral:rRNA from 1 species